UGAGUCUGUGGGCCUGGCCAGAUUGCUGGAAUGAGGAGGCCCCUCUGUGGCCUGCCAUGGAGUUUACCCACCUGGGGAAAUUCACUCAUAUUUCCUCUGGACAGCAGUCACAGGGACCACAGGAGGGCUGAGCAUCACAAAUAAGGAAGUGGAAUCCCAGAAUCCGUGCCAGAGUGCAGGCGGGUCACUAGGAUAGGCAGGCGGCUGGAGUCUCCGAUGAGUUGCUUUCUCGUGUCUGCAGGCACCAUAACCCAGCACCAUGUCCCAUCACACUUUAUAUCUGAGCCAUCCACCUAGCUGUUUAAACAUCAGAACAUCCAAAGCACUCGGGAGGCACAGGCAGGUAGGUCUCUGUGAGUUUGAGGCCAGCCUGGUCUACAGAGCAUGUUCCAGAAUGGCUGGGGCUAUACGGAGAGACCCUGUCUCGGGGGAGAGGGGAAAAGCAAGAGGGAGAGAAUGUUCCUCAUCUUCAUGGUUUGGGGUGCCAGAGAGAUGACUCUGUGGUUAAAAGCAUGCAUUGUUCUUGCUAAGGACCUGAAUUUGGUUUCUAGUGCCCAUGUCAUGUGGCCACAACCACCUAUGACUCCAGCUCCAGGGACAUACACUCCACCAUGCACAUACGGAAAUACCUACCCAUGCACACACAAAUAAUUAAAAAUAAAGCCUUUGAAAAGGAAACUAUUGUUUUAAAAACUAUACAGCUAGAAGUGGAAAUUCUACGUAAUGUAUAUAUUACAAGAAAGAAUAAUGGGUGGUAGGGCUCUACCUCGGAGGAGGAAUUUUAAUGAGCCCCAGGGGUGACUGGAACACACGGCUAGACGAGACGACCGAAUAGACUUCAAGAUCCUCACAGGGGUGCAGGGGUGCUUAUCAGAAACAGGACAUCAUUUCUCCCUUCUAUGUAAAUAGGUUAACAUCUACCUCCGAGAGUCCUAGGUUUAAAGAUGGGGGUGAAGCACUGCCAACAGGUCAGCAAGUACCAGACAAGACCGGAGCUAAAGUACUCCCCACCCUCAUCUCCAUACCAAAAUUUCCCACCGGAUUCUGGACCCCUUGCAGAGUGGACUCUAGCUGCUUUAAAUUCCCCCAGGGAAGUGGGCAGAAACUGAGAAAGAACCUAGGACCCCAAAUGGUCAA
rnacentral:sRNA from 1 species